rnacentral:misc_RNA from 1 species
UCAAACUUGGUCAUUUAGAGGAAGUAAAAGUCGUAACAAGGUCUCCGUAGGUGAACCUGCGGAGGGAUCAUUACCAGAGUGAGGGUGAAAACCCGACCUCCAACCCCAUGUACUUCAUACCAUGUUGCCUCGGGGGCGACCCGGCCUUCGGGCGUCGGGGCCCCCGGUGGACCCGUAACACUGCAUCUAUGCGUCUGAGUGAUUAAUCAAUCAAUCAAAACUUUCAACAACGGAUCUCUUGGUUCUGGCAUCGAUGAAGAACGCAGC